rnacentral:rRNA from 1 species
UGAGGAACAUGACCUUCGGCGGGGGAUAGCCGGCCCAACGGCCGGGUAAUACCGCGUACGACCACAUGGGGACAUCCCUGAGUGGUGAAAGCAGCAAUGCGCCGAUGGAGUGCCUCGCGGCCUAUCAGCUAGUUGGUGAGGUAACGGCUCACCAAGGCAACGACGGGUAGCUGGUCUGAGAGGAUGGCCAGCCACNUUGGAACUGAGACACGGCCCAGACCUNUACCGGGGAGG